UCUGAAGCCUAACUGAGGAUAUAUUCAAAGAGCACCCGCGGCAGGUUUUCCUUCCUCAGAUCCCGCCAGCUGGCAACAUUUACCGCCUAAGACCCAAGUGGGAGUCUCUUUAACCUGUUUCCAGGCCAGCGUUCGGGUUGUGUAGAGAGCUGCAUCGGGCCUGUGCAGGUUUAUCUGGGUUUUAGUUAAUACAUGAUGCAAAUUCGAGAGAACUAAAAGAUUUUCGGUGAAAACUCUUUUUCCUCUCCUCGACCCAAGUCGCCCAUUUGCCUCUGCUGAAGAGAGAAAAAAGUCAGGAAGCUAAUGAGACUCAAAAUAGCCUCCAGAGCUCUGUGAUUCAGCUUAACAUUGGGUGGCACCAAGGAAAGAACGAGGCUGUUAAUGCUAUUCAGUGGUGACUCAGUGGCUCAUGCAUGAUGUGAAGGAUAAGGAAAACUCACCCUCACCAAGGAAUAUUUUUCCCAAAGGAUGUGUACAAGGGCCCACGUUUCCUUUGAGCUCAAGUAUUUAUUUGAUUGUUUUGUGUUGAAAGGGAAAUCAUGCACAUGCUACAAGAUGCAAAAGAAACUAAAAGAUCUGGAGCAAAAGAGCAGACUGUGUUCAAAGUGACCAGAUGUGGAUCGUGUGCAAAAGAAAGCCAGUGUGGGGCCAUCUUGGACUUUGCCUGAGAGGACCACCCUAGGAAGCAAGAGAAAGAAGAAAGAAACUGGAAGUGGAAUCCACAAUACCCAGGGACUCUGGGUGCAGCCAUGAGCAAUCAGCCAAAAUAGGAAUGCAUUUGCUCAUGUCGGGGAAAUGGAAGGGAGCAGUCUACAUUACUGGGGGUCUCCAAAGAACACCAGGAAAACCCCUCAAGAGAAAGUCAGCUUUGCCUUCCACCCAGUGCAGGGAGGACUGCUCACUACCUAUCACAGGGACUGAGAACUUUACUGCUUCCUGUUACCUUUCCUCCAGCCCUGCACCUAGACCCUAAGGAGUAGGAAUAAGUGGAUAAUUAGAAGGACUGAAAGCCGCCUAGAACAUCUCAUUCCCCAACUCCAGGUCUAAGGAGAGGAGGGGAAGACAAUGCUAAGUCACGUUAAACAUGGUUAUUAUUACAUGGUGAUUGGGCAUCUUAAUUUUCAAAUUGAGAUCAUAGUUUGUCAAUUAAAAUGAGUAAGUUUCCUAAAAGGAAACAGAAAAGCCAUAGGGCCUGCCUACGUUCAUCCAGUGGCAGAGAAAUUCUCCCCCCAGGACAGAUUUUAGAGAAGGCAUAAAUUAAAUUGUACAUUGUUUGAGAUGUAUUUGUUCAAACAGAUGGAUAGUAAGUUCUAAGGGGUCAGGGCUUAUGCCAAGAAACGCUGAACUAUUGUAUGCCCAUGUUGCUCACCAUCAUUUCCACCCAAUUUUGUCCAGCAUCAUAAUAUAGUAGCAGCUACUGUUUUGAAGCAGUGACUGUGUUAGGCACUGACAAGACACUUUGUGUGUAUCAUCUCAUUUAAUAUUCUGUUACCUGAUGAAAUAAUUUCCUUCCAUUCUCUAGACGAAGAAACGUAGAUACAGAGGUUUUUCUAGCUCCAACGCUUUGCUUCUAAGCCAUCCUGUGUGUCCCUCUUUCAGAAUCAGAUGAGCUGUUCUGGGUCCCUUCAGUGCCCAGUGCUCCUUCCAGCCGCAGAGGCACACAGGUCGGUAACCUGUCUUUCCUCUGCAUGUGGAUCUCACAGAGUCUGAACUCAGCCCAAAUUAGAUCCCGUGAGCUCAGCAUAGUGCCUUGGUACACAGCUGACACUCGAUAGGUUGCUACUGCUGAUAGCAAUAACACAUAGACACUCACUUAGACAAAUGUGUGGGCUUUGAGGUUAAACCUUGACUACCUAACUCGCUACUUACUAGCUGUGUGGUCUUGAAUAAAUUACUGUACUCUCUUUGAAUCUCAGUUUUCUUCUGGGAAAUGGGUUGAUAAUGGCUCUGCGAGAGUGCGUUUGG